UUUUUACCCCAUUAUUCAUUCGUAUCAUUCCUCGCCCACUAUCUGGAUUCCUAAAAUGCGAUUUGGUUGCCUGCCGUCUGUUGAGAUUAUCUGGGGUUAUGAACCUCGAGAGUUCUGGAUUUUCAGCUCUAUUGUUGAAACAGUGUUUACGCUUUCCGAGUGAGGCAUGUGUUUGGUGCCUGCCGCUGUGCUGCGCGGCUGGUUGUGCUGAGUGUGGCUGAGGCCAGCUCCCAGCUUUAAUGUGUUGCUGUUCAGGCAGCCUACCUGCAGAAGGGAGGUGUGAACACAGUGGUUCUGGAGCGCCGGCACGUGAUCGGAGGAGCAGCAGUGACGGAGGAGCUCUUUCCAGGCUUCCGGUGCUCUGUGGCUUCUUACGUGCUCAGCUUGCUCAGGCCUCACAUCUACCGGGACCUGGAACUGAAGGUAAGGAGGCUUUGGAAAUUAUUUGAAAGCACAGAUACCUCAGAGUUGGCGGCAGGGUGGCCCAGUUGUUAGGAUUGCUGCCUCACAGCGCUGGGGCCCUGGGUUCAGUUCCGGGCCUGGGUUGCUAUCCGUGCGGAGUCUCCGUGAUUUCCCUGUGUUCGCUUGGGCUUCUUCCGGGUUCUCCAGUUUCCUCCCACAUCUAGAUACUGUGGAGAUAGUGGUAGGUCAAGUGGCUUCUGGGAAGAUUGGCCCCGACGUGAGUGUGUUCGUGUUUGUGUCUGUGUGUCUGCCUUGCGAUGAACUGGCGUGCUGAGCAGGGUGUCUCCUGCCUUGCGCCCUUGCCAGGGUAGGCCUGGCGUUAUUUUCUGAGAUAGGAAUCCGGUAUUGGAUGAAGCAGUUCGAAUGGAUGGUACCUUUGAUUUGGAAAUUCAGGUCCAUAAAAAAAGAGUUCCGUAGCUGAGAGU
rnacentral:lncRNA from 1 species